AGACGGCCAUAUCACGUUGAAACACCGAAUCCAUUAGAUCACUGAAGUUAAGGCAUGUCGAGCAUGGUCAGUACCUAGAUGGGUGACCGCUUGCGAAUGACAGGUGCUGUGA